rnacentral:rRNA from 1 species
UGGGGAAUAUUGCGCAAUGGGCGAAAGCCUGACGCAGCGACGCCGCGUGAGGGACGAAGGACGUGACGGUACCUGGAGAAAAAAGCAACGGCUAACUACGUGCCAGCAGCCGCGGUAAUACGUAGGUUGCAAGCGUUGUCCGGAUUUACUGGGUGUAAAGGGCGUGUAGGCGGAGAUGCAAGUUGGGAGUGAAAUCCAUGGGCUCAACCCAUGAACUGCUCUCAAAACUGUAUCCCUUGAGUAUCGGAGAGGCAAGCGGAAUUCCUAGUGUAGCGGUGAAAUGCGUAGAUAUUAGGAGGAACACCAGUGGCGAAGGCGGCUUGCUGGACGACAACUGACGCUGAGGCGCGAAAGCGUGGGGAGCAAACAGGAUUAGAUACCCUGGUAGU